AUUGAACGCUGGCGGCAUGCCUUACACAUGCAAGUCGAACGGCAGCACGGGUGCUUGCACCUGGUGGCGAGUGGCGAACGGGUGAGUAAUAUAUCGGAACGUACCUUAUUGUGGGGGAUAACGCAGCGAAAGCUGUGCUAAUACCGCAUAAUCCCUAAGGGGGAAAGCGGGGGACCGUAAGGCCUCGCGCAAUUAGAGCGGCCGAUACCUGAUUAGCUAGUUGGUGAGGUAAAGGCUCACCAAGGCAACGAUCAGUAGCUGGUCUGAGAGGACGAUCAGCCACACUGGGACUGAGACACGGCCCAGACUCCUACGGGAGGCAGCAGUGGGGAAUUUUGGACAAUGGGGUCAACCCUGAUCCAGCAAUGCCGCGCGAGUGAAGAAGGCCUUCGGGUUGUAAAGCUCUUUUGUCAGGGAAGAAACAGCAGCUCUAACACAGUAUGCGAAUGACGGUACCUGAAGAAUAAGCACCGGCUAACUACGUGCCAGCCGCCGCCGUAA
rnacentral:rRNA from 1 species